GCAUCCGUAGCUCAGCUGAAUAGAGUACUCGGCUACGAACCGAGCGGUCGGAGGUUCGAAUCCUCCCGGAUGCACCA
rnacentral:tRNA from 3 species